rnacentral:rRNA from 1 species
UACAGAGGGUGCAAGCGUUAAUCGGAAUUACUGGGCGUAAAGCGUGCGUAGACGGUUACAUAAGUCGGGUGUGAAAGCCCCGGGCUCAACCUGGGAAUUGCAUUCGAGACUGCGUAGCUAGGGUGCGGAAGAGGGAAGCGGAAUUUCCGGUGUAGCGGUGAAAUGCGUAGAUAUCGGAAGGAACACCAGUGGCGAAAGCGGCUUCCUGGUCCAGCACCGACGUUCAGGCGCGAAAGCGUGGGGAGCGAACAGG